GAUUAAGAAAUUAUCCACUAAUCAAUCUAAUUUUAAGGUUUUAAUUUGGUUUUAAUCCGUUUUGUUGAUGUUGUUGUUUUGGAUGACAGACAUCGGAGGAUUCCUUAUCCUUAUCCCUCAAUAUCGUUCGUUUGAGUGCACUCGUUUCGGCCUCCAUGGCCAGCCAAGGCCGGCUGCCAGUCAGCUGAUAAUCGAGUUGUCUUAACUCUGUGUGAAGGGCUGGACACACGUUCAAAGUGGAGCUUCAAAGUGGUAAACGUUUAGUCAAGUGUUGAUUGAUGACCUUCAAAGGAGAGCGGCCCGCUCUCCUUUGAAGGUCAUCGAUGCUCUGCGGAUCUCAACGUCCAUCUAACCUCUCCAAGCGCGCGGCAAUUUAAGUGCGUCUAUAAUAACAGCCCUCCCUAACCUGUGAAAUCUGGUGAAAUCGAAAUCAUUACAAAUUGUAAUUUCUACCUUAUCAGAAGUUUAAAUAAUCCAGUUCCUUCCAGUGAAAAUUUCCUUCAGUGAUUACUCUAACAGGAUCCUUCAGACUUCUAUUCAGUGCAUCUUUGAUGUUCAGCACAUUGUCACCCAUUAACUCAACGCACCUUCACCUCUCUAAGCACGCGGCUAGUUCUAGUGAAAAAUUAUGGAAAUUAACCAAGGUCCUACCGUUUCAACUCUAAAACUAAAAAACCCAGUCUCAUUUGCAGGAAGACAGGUUAUCGCACAAGCUGGAAAUGCUGCUUCCAAAGCAAGGGUAAUUAUUAUUCCGCCUAAACCUGUCAUGGGUCCUCACCCAGCCCAAAAAGUAUUGCUAAUAACGCCACAGGGAAAAGAACCAUGCAAAGCAACCAAGAAAACAGUUACGCAACCAGAAAGAGGAAAUGGGCGAAAUACUACUGCGCCCAAGGUUGGUUCCUGGACGGCUCCGCAGACACUAGAGCUCAUAGGAGCUAUUAAAGAGAACCCGUGUCUUUACCAAGUAAAACAUCCGGAUUACCUGGAUCGGAGGAAGAAAGAUGACGCCUACAAUCGCAUCAGAGAAUUCAUCUCAGGGUUUAGAGAAAACACCACAGUUAAGGAAAUUACAGCCAAAUGGAAUUCCCUUCGGACGCAAUUCAUAGCGGAGCACAAAAAAGUCUUGGAUUCCAUGAGAACCGGCACAGGCAAAGAUGAAGUCUAUUCACCUAAUAUGACACACUACUGCGACUUAUUAUUCUUGACAGAUCAUGUAGCGAUCCGCCAGCCACAGUCAAAUGAGGCAUUUGGAAUCGAAAAUGAGGAAAACAUUGAUGAGGACCUUUACCACGAUGACUUGCCUUCAACGAGUUUAGCUGGCCCUCCAGUGAAAAAAGGAAAUCUAAAGCCAAUAAUAAUACAACUGUUGAUGGGGUAUUUAUCGACUUCUUGAAUGAAGCUAAAACUGUGUUCAAGCCGGCACAGCCACCCACUGCUGUAGCUCCUACUACUGCUGCAGCUUCUCUAUCUGCUACUUCACUCACCGAACCUCAGGACGAAUUUGCUCAGCUGGGAAAUUUGGUGGCUACUAAACUAAGAGCUAUGCCAGUUGAGCAGAGCAAAAAAAUUUCAAGUCAAAUUGUUGGAAUUCUUUACGCCUAAGUGAAAGUUUAUACUCCUCAUAUGUAAGUUGCGGGAAGUAUUUUUC
rnacentral:lncRNA from 1 species